AGUGAACGCUGGCGGUAGGCCUAACACAUGCCAGUCGAACGGCAGCACAGUAAGAGCUUGCCCUUACGGGUGGCGAGUGGCGGACGGGUGAGGAAUACAUCGGAAUCUACUUUUUCGUGGGGGAUAACGUAGGGAAACUUACGCUAAUACCGCAUACGACCUACGGGUGAAAGCAGGGGAUCUUCGGACCUUGCGCGAUUGAAUGAGACGAUGUCGGAUUAGCUAGUUGGCGGGGUAAAGGCCCACCAAGGCGACGAUCCGUAGCUGGUCUGAGAGGAUGAUCAGCCACACUGGAACUGAGACACGGUCCAGACUCCUACGGGAGGCAGCAGUGGGGAAUAUUGGACAAUGGGCGCAAGCCUGAUCCAGCCAUACCGCGUGGGUGAAGAAGGCCUUCGGGUUGUAAAGCCCUUUUGUUGGGAAAGAAAAGCAGCAGGUUAAUACCCCGCUGUUCUGACGGUACCCAAAGAAUAAGCACCGGCUAACUUCGUG
rnacentral:rRNA from 1 species